AUUGAACGCUGGCGGCGUGCUUAACACAUGCAAGUCGAUCGGUAACAGGUGUAGCAAUACAUGCUGACGAGAGGCGGACAGGUGAGUAAUGCUUGGGAAUCUGCCUAUUAGUGGGGGACAACCCGGGGAAACUCGGGCUAAUACCGCAUACGCUCUACGGAGGAAAGCCGGGGACCGCAAGGCCUGGCGCUAAUAGAUGAGCCCAAGUCGGAUUAGCUAGUUGGUAGGGAACGGCCUACCAAGGCGACAAUCCGUAGCUGGUCUGAGAGGACGACCAGCCACACCGGAACUGAGACACGGUCCGGACUCCUACGGGAGGCAGCAGUGGGGAAUAUUGGACAAUGGGGGCAACCCUGAUCCAGCGACGCCGCGUGGGUGAAGAAGGCCUGCGGGUUGUAAAGCCCUUUCGGUGGGGAAGAAAAGUCUCGACCUAAUACGUCGGGACCUUGACGUAACCCACUAAAGAAGCACCGGCUAACUCUGUGCCAGCAG
rnacentral:rRNA from 1 species